rnacentral:rRNA from 1 species
GCUAAUACCGGAUGCUCGAUUGAGCCGCAUGGUUCAAUUAUAAAAGGUGGCUUUCAGCUACCACUUACAGAUGGACCCGCGGCGCAUUAGCUAGUUGGUGAGGUAACGGCUCACCAAGGCGACGAUGCGUAGCCGACCUGAGAGGGUGAUCGGCCACACUGGGACUGAGACACGGCCCAGACUCCUACGGGAGGCAGCAGUAGGGAAUCUUCCGCAAUGGACGAAAGUCUGACGGAGCAACGCCGCGUGAGUGAUGAAGGUUUUCGGAUCGUAAAACUCUGUUGUUAGGGAAGAACAAGUACCGUUCGAAUAGGGCGGCACCUUGACGGUACCUAACCAGAAAGCCACGGCUAACUACGUGCCAGCAGCCGCGGUAAUACGUAGGUGGCAAGCGUUGUCCGGAAUUAUUGGGCGUAAAGCGCGCGCAGGCGGUUUCUUAAGUCUGAUGUGAAAGCCCCCGGCUCAACCGGGGAGGGUCAUUGGAAACUGGGGAACUUGAGUGCAGAAGAGGAGAGUGGAAUUCCACGUGUAGCGGUGAAAUGCGUAGAGAUGUGGAGGAACACCAGUGGCGAAGGCGACUCUCUGGUCUGUAACUGACGCUGAGGCGCGAAAGC